rnacentral:rRNA from 1 species
UAUAAGUAUAAACGAUUUUAUCGUGAAACCGCGAACGGCUCAUUAUAACAGCUAUAAUUCACUUGAUCUUGACAAUCCUACUUGGAUAACUGUGGUAAUUCUAGAGCUAAUACAUGCACCAAAGCUCCGACCUUGCGGUAGGAGUGCAUUUAUUUGAACAAAACCAGGCGUUCACGCAAGUGGACGUUUUUUGUUGACUCAGAAUAACUAAGCUGAUCGCACGGUCUUGAACCGGCGACGUGUCUUUCAAGUAUCUGCCUUAUCAACUUUCGAUGGUAGUGUAUCUGACUACCAUGGUUGUGACGGGUAACGGAGGAUAAGGGUUCGACUCCGGAGAAGGGGCCUGAGAAAUGGCCACUACG